AUGUUUUAUUAUUAUGAUUUGGAAAAUAUUAAUGAAGAAAGGGUUGGUGAUACACAAAAUACACUUUAUGUGAGAUUAAGGUUAUUUCAGACUAAUUCAAUUCAGUUCAAUUCGUCAUCAAAAUCAAGCUUCAGAUCCGACCCACUUAGCUCAGAUCUCUCUUUUCAUCUUUCUCUCUCAAUCAUUCAAUCCAUCCCAGUUUGUAUACUAGCUGUGUUAUAG